GUGUGAGAUGACGGGGCGGGAACAUGCACACACCAAGCCAUGAGAUGUGGGGAGGGGUGCGGCGGGCGGGGCGGGCAGGCCGGGCAGCUGGGGCGGGGCAGAGCUGGGGCUACAGGUGAUUCUCAGGUGGGGGGGGAGCCGAGGCUCCACCCCCGCCGUGCCCUCUCCAGCGCAGAGCAGGGGCAGCAGCGUGAGUGCCCAGCUUGCCCAGCAGGAGGGGCCGGGAGACCCGGCGGCGGGCCUAGGACUGAAGGCACUGCCCUUGGUCCCACCUCGAGGCACAGCCAGUACAGCCCGCCUCCGGUCUCCGGGCCAGGGCCCCUGCACCGCUGUCCUGACAGCCAGCCAGCUCUGCUGUCCGGCCCUCCAGCCCGCCCUCACAGCUGGGUGGAGAUGGCCCAGGAGCCCCUGGGAGUCCUACCUGCCACCACAGGAUAGGAAAUGCAGACACAGAGAGGUCAAGAAAUUCAUCGCCUUCCUGUGAGGAGUGCAGCUGGGACUGAGACUUCAGUGCCUCUGCUGUUAGCUGCUGCCCUAAAUCGGAUGACAGCGAAAAGCUGACGUUAAGGCUUUGCCUCAGUUAUUCUCAUCAGGUCCCCUCAGGAGCCCUGUGACAUGGAUGAGAAAGAUGUCUGUUUUGUACAUCCAGAGCCUGAACCACAGAAGAUAAAAGUCCCGUUCAGUAUGUAGCAACGAGGAUUUCAGAAGCGCCAGUCCAUAGAAUAGAUGUCUCUUUUCUUCUCCUACUACAAACCCAAGCAAAUAGAAGCUUGUGAGUUCAAACCAGUAGCUUGGAGUUAAUUUUGUUUGAAAACCUCUUUACCAAGUGCUUGUGGGUUUUGUUCAGUAAGGUCUCAUUCUAGAGUCCAAUGGACUUUCCCUACCAUGAGCAUGGCUAUGACCUACAGAGUUUCUUUAAGAAAGAACUUAGUCAACUAAAAGCAGGAGUAUACCCCCCACACAACUCCCUUCCAUCAGGGAGGGACAGCACAAUGCAUUCCCCACAUACAGGUCACACACCCCCCCAACUUUGCACUGUAUGAAACAGUGUAGAAAACUGAAAUCAAGGAAUGCUCUGUGGUUACAUAAUAGGUCUAUUAAAGGCAAUCGCUUUCAGUGAUUUCCAUGGAGCUGGAUUCUCCAAGGAGCCACAGCACUUUUUGGUUGCAUGCCGGGCACUUUUGGAAGCUGCAGUCUAUUCUGAAGGCCACCAGGGCAUCAUCAGCAUGAAGCAGCAAUUACUGACUAAAUGGUGCUCUGGUUCUGUGCCUUCCGAGGAGGCCCACUUAGAGGCAGAGUGGAGAUGCUGAGAGCCUGGCUUAAUGAAAUUGAACAAAAUACCUAAUUUCUAGAGAGUGUAAGAAAGUUUAAAAUGCCAAUGGAUGUGUUGGAUUUAAUAUCAAAAUAUUUACUCAAAAAUUCAAUUUCUGUUCCACAUAAUUCAGAAAAAAAAUUUUUUAAAAAAGAAACUUCUAUACUCUAACAUUUUGGGGAUGUUGCAUUAAAUGGUGUAAAUAGCACCGUGAUGCCUGGAUUUGUUUUUCUGGGACGGAACUUGAAUUGGGGACAGAGUGGCACAAUACUUUCAGAACUUGGGUGACUUAAAGUUCUGCUUCGAUAAUGAUUGGCCAAGUAGGUUUAGUCUGCUUGACUUUCCAGAGUGUUGUUUUUCUCACCUGUAUUAAGGGGGAUCAUAGAAUCUACUUCCCAAGACUGAUGUAAGAUUAAAUGAGAUUUUUAUGUACAAUACUGAUAUAAAGCAUUCAGCACAGAAUGCUUGGUGAUAACAGAUGCUCAAAAAGUGGUUAUGACAGGUGAUAUUUUAGGAUUAUGGGAAGAGUCAGAAGCUGCCAAAUUUUUGAACUCUGUCAUCAUAAUAUUCACAUUUUGUUAAUUUUGAUAGAUUUGUAAAAUACAAGAAGAAAAGGUAUAAGGACUCCUAACUAUGCCCAGUGAUAAAACAGCAACCAGGAAUGAGGCCACCUGACGUUUCUGUGGAACACUUUUCCCCUAGCUGAUUUCCCAGCAAGAAGCCGGUGUCUUUGCCCCGUGCUGAGGCCAGGUGUGAGUAUCUGUGCGUUUUUCUUGGCUCCUCAGCCAGAGGGCCUUCCAGUGUCCAGAUGAGAGAACACCACGUUACUGAGGCAGCACAGUCAGUCACCAGCGAUAGAAAGGCAAGGGCUUAGACUUAAUGAGCCCUUGGCACAGGCUGGGUUCUCUGUGCCCCUUCCCACCCAGUCAGGUGAAUGAAUGAGUGAGGGAGAAGAUAACCAUGAGGCCUCCUUUUCCCUCCUCAGUAGAGAGGGGUUGGAGCAGUUCAGGGGUUUCCAAAUGCUUUCAUUUUGUUGUCUUCAAACAAGAAUACAUGGAGACACCAAUGCUAAGACAGGUAAAUGUCGAUCCAUCUGCAUGACACCAGGGCUCCCACACCUCAGCUCUGCCAAGAGCUGCUUCCCCAAGUGCUGCCUGAGGCCCUCGCCUUAAGUUAUCACCACAUGAAUGGGAACAAGGAAGUAGGUGGUCACUGAGGUCUCUAAGAUCUCAUGUCUGCUCUCAGAGCCUCUCAUUCCAGGAUUCACCAUGUGUGUAUCCCCCAGCAUGGUGCAGGGGCUCUCUAUAACCAUGAAGGUCCUUUAGGGGGCUUAUGGGUGGAGCCAGGAAAUGGCUCUGGGACCCAGCAGGUGCCCAGGGUCUCAUCAGAAGUUUUCUUGAUUCUCCUAGGGUGGCUGGUGCUGGUGCAUGGGCUUUGCAGGCUCACUCUCGCAGAGAAGGUUUCCUGCAGGUGCACUGCCAAGGCCCCACAUCCCUCCUGGAGCCUGUCCUCACUCGGAUGAACACCCAGGCCUUCCCCCCGGCUUCGCUGAUGGCCAGCUUUCUCUGCACCCCUUGUAGCUCUCACAGCCAAAGUUGAUAAAAUCGCUGACGCAGGUUGCCUGCUCAGCUGCAGGGGCUGGCACAGGACCAGCAGCCCAGCCAGUCACUGGCAGUAGUUCAGCUGAUUAUUGGCAUCAAUGCCAUUGUCCUACUCAGAACUUAAAGGUGAACGUUUAGGAUGGCCUCACUUCUAGAUAAAAUGAUAGUAUAAGCAAAGGGAGCAAUGGAUCACACCCUAGAUACUCCUUAGCGAGUUCAUCUGGUGGAACAAGGGGGAGAAAGACACCAAAACCAUGGAUAGAUAAUAAUGAAUUGAGAGCUCAGUGGUUGUCACUGUUGUAGCGAUUUUGUUGGCCUCAGAAAGGGACCUCUCACCUCUCCGUCACCUUUUCACAAAAGCCAACCCACUAGAACCUGUUUCUCUUGUGCUGAGCACUGGAAAGAAAAGCUUCGUACAGCUUGUGA